UACAGAGGGGGCAAGCGUUGUUCGGAAUUACUGGGCGUAAAGGGCGCGUAGGCGGCCUUCUAAGUCGAACGUGAAAUCCCCGGGCUCAACCCGGGAACUGCGUCCGAGACUGGAAGGCUUGAAUCCGGGAGAGGGAUGUGGAAUUCCAGGUGUAGCGGUGAAAUGCGUAGAUAUCUGGAGGAAUACUGGUGGCGAAGGCGGCAUCCUGGACCGGCAUUGACGCUGAGGAGCGAAAGCCAGGGGAGCAAACGGG
rnacentral:rRNA from 1 species